CAGCCGCCGCGGGAAUACGUAGGUGGCAAGCGUUGUCCGGAAUUAUUGGGCGUAAAGGGCUCGCAGGCGGUUUCUUAAGUCUGAUGUGAAAGCCCCCGGCUCAACCGGGGAGGGUCAUUGGAAACUGGGAAACUUGAGUGCAGAAGAGGAGAGUGGAAUUCCACGUGUAGCGGUGAAAUGCGUAGAGAUGUGGAGGAACACCAGUGGCGAAGGCGACUCUCUGGUCUGUAACUGACGCUGAGGAGCGAAAGCGUGGGGAGCGAACAGGAUUAGAGACCCCCGUAGUCCCUGUCUCUUAUAC
rnacentral:rRNA from 1 species